GAUGAACGCUAGCUACAGGCUUAACACAUGCAAGUCGAGGGACCGGCGUACGGGUGAGUAACGCGUAUCCAACCUUACCAUUACUGUGGGAAAAACUGCCGAAAGCACGACUAAUACCGCAUAGUAAUGGAUGGGGAUGCUUCUGAUUAGCUGGUUGGAGGGGUAACGGCCACGCAAGGCGACGAUCAGUAAGGGUUCUGAGAGGAAGGUGCCCCACAUUGGAACUGAGACACGGACCAAGCACCUACGGGAGGCAGCAGUAAGGAAUAUUGGGCAAUGGACGGAAGUGUGACCCAGCUAAGUAGCGUGCAGAAUGACGGCCUAUGGGUUGUAAACUACUUUUUGAUGGGGAUAGGUACCAUAUGAAUAAGGACCGGCUAAUUCCGUGCCAGCAGCCGCGGUAAUAC
rnacentral:rRNA from 1 species